UAUUAUAAAAAGGAAGAAGAGAGAUGAAAUGUAAUGAUUCUUUGAUUAUAAACUCUUCUUCUUGUUUUUGGUGUACAAAAGAGUGAGAUGAGUGAUGGUAUUUAUAAUGAGCAACAAUACAUAAAAUAACAAAGAUGGUGCUUAAUUUGGUAAAUGAGUGGGUAAUCAUAGUGCUUGAUGAGUAGAUGAUCAUAGUGCUUGAGUUGGUAAAGGAGUGGAUGAUCAUUUCAAUGUUUAUCUUAUAACACUACCCCUUGAUCAUCCA
rnacentral:lncRNA from 1 species